GCCGGAAUUGCUAGUAAUGGCAGGUCAGCAUACUGCCGUGAAUACGUUCCCGGGCCUUGUACACACCGCCCGUCACACCAUGAGAGUUGGAAAUACCCGAAGCCUGUGAGCUAACUAUACGAGGCAGCAGUCGAAGGUAGAAUCAAUGAUUGGGGUGAAGUCGUAACAAGGUAAC
rnacentral:rRNA from 1 species